GCCGACGUAGCUCAGUGGCUAGAGCGCCAUCUUUGUAAGUUGGAUGUCGUGGGUUCGACUCCCACCGUCGGCU
rnacentral:tRNA from 1 species